CUGGAGGUAUCAGAAGUGCGAAUGCUGACAUAAGUAACGAUAAAGCGGGUGAAAAGCCCGCUCGCCGGAAGACCAAGGGUUCCUGUCCAACGUUAAUCGGGGCAGGGUGAGUCGACCCCUAAGGCGAGGCCGAAAGGCGUAGUCGAUGGGAAACAGGUUAAUAUUCCUGUACUUGGUGUUACUGCGAAGGGGGGACGGAGAAGGCUAUGUUGGCCGGGCGACGGUUGUCCCGGUUUAAGCGUGUAGGCUGGUUUUCCAGGCAAAUCCGGAAAAUCAAGGCUGAGGCGUGAUGACGAGGCACUACGGUGCUGAAGCAACAAAUGCCCUGCUUCCAGGAAAAGCCUCUAAGCAUCAGGUAACAUCAAAUCGUACCCCAAACCGACACAGGUGGUCAGGUAGAGAAUACCAAGGCGCUUGAGAGAACUCGGGUGAAGGAACUAGGCAAAAUGGUGCCGUAACUUCGGGAGAAGGCACGCUGAUAUGUAGGUGAAGUCCCUUGCGGAUGGAGCUGAAAUCAGUCGAAGAUACCAGCUGGCUGCAACUGUUUAUUAAAAACACAGCACUGUGCAAACACGAAAGUGGACGUAUACGGUGUGACGCCUGCCCGGUGC
rnacentral:rRNA from 1 species